GACGAACGCUGGCGGCGUGCUUAACACAUGCAAGUCGAACGAGUGGCGAACGGGUGAGUAAUACGUGAGUAACCUGCCCUCUUUGUGGGAUAAGCCUUGGAAACGGGGUCUAAUACCGGAUAAAGGGGGAUGGGAUCGCGGCCUAUCAGCUUGUUGGUGGGGUGAUGGCAUACCAAGGCGGUGACGGGUAGACGUCCUGGGAGGGGGACCGUCCACAGUGCGACGGGGAGACGUCCCAGAGUCGUACGGGCGGGAGCCGUGGGGGAUAUUGCAAAAUGGGGGAAAGUCUGAGGCAGCGACGCAGUGUGGGGGAUGAAGGCUUACGGGUUGUAGACCUCUUUCGCUAGCGAUAGGGUAGGUGGAGAAUAAGCGCCGGCUAACUACGUGCCAGCAGCCGCGGUAAUAC
rnacentral:rRNA from 1 species